rnacentral:rRNA from 1 species
AUUGAACGCUGGCGGCAGGCCUAACACAUGCAAGUCGAGCGAGCGGCGGACGGGUGAGUAAUGUCUGGGAAACUGCCUGAUGGAGGGGGAUAACUACUGGAAACGGUAGCUCAUACCGCCUAUCCUCAGCUGUGCCCAGAUGGGAUUAGCUAGUAGGGGGGGUAAUGGCUCACCUAGGCGACGCUCCCUAGCUGGUCUGAGAGGCUGACCAGCCACACUGGAACUGAGACACGGGCCAGACUCCUACGGGAGGCAGCAGGGGGGAAUAUUGCACAAUGGGCGCAAGCCUGAUGCAGCCAUGCCGCGUGUGGGAAGAAGGCCUUCGGGUUGUAAAGCACUUUCAGCGGGGAGGCGUUACCCGCAGAAGAAGCACCGGCUAACUCCGUGCCAGCAGCCGCGGUAAUUC